CCUACGGGGGGCAGCAGUGGGGAAUAUUGGGCAAUGGGCGCAAGCCUGACCCAGCGACGCCGCGUGAGGGAAGAAGGCCUUUGGGUCGUAAACCUCUGUUGUAUGGGAAGAAGGAAGUGACGGUACCAUACGAGGAAGUCCCGGCUAACUACGUGCCAGCAGCCGCGGUAAUACGUAGGGGACGAGCGUUGUCCGGAAUAACUGGGCGUAAAGCGCACGCAGGCGGUUUGUUAAGCCAGAUGUGAAAGCCCCGGGCUCAACCCGUAUCAGCAUUCAAAACUGUGGUUCUUGAGUAAUGCAGAGGUAGGCGGAAUUCCCGGUGUAGCGGUGGAAUGCGUAGAUAUCGGGAGGAACACCAGUGGCGAAGGCGGCCUACUGGGCAUCAACUGACGCUGAGGCUCGAAAGCAUGGGUAGCAAACAGGAUUAGAUACCCGAGUAGUC
rnacentral:rRNA from 1 species